rnacentral:rRNA from 1 species
CCCUUAGAUGUUCUGCGCCGCACGCGCGUUACACUGAUGCAUUCAACGAGCUUAUAACCUUGGCCGAGAGGCCUGGGCAAUCUUGUUAACGUGCAUCGUGAUAGGGAUAGAUUAUUGAAAUUAUUAAUCUUGAACGAGGAAUUCCUAGUAAACGCAGAUCAUCAAUCUGCAUUGAUUACGUCCCUGCCCUUUGUACACACCGCCCGUCGCACCUACCGAUUGGAUGGUCCGGUGAAGCCUCGGGAUUGUGGUUCUUGCCGCUUUAUUGUGGCGUGACCGCGAGAACUUGUCUAAACCUUAUCAUCUAGAGGAAGGUGAAGUCGUAACA